GAGAAAGGGGAAUUUCGGGGAAAAGGCAGGACUUUUAAGGGGUGGGGGUGUGGCGGAGCUCGACUCACCCCCCAGCAAGGGGGGAAAAACCCCAAAAAGGGGGAAGAAAAGAGCAGGAAAAGCAGCGGGGUGGGGCGGCUCCGCCACCGCCCCCUCCUUUAAAUCCCCUAAAUCCGGAUUUAACCCCCCGUUUACACCCCAAAUCCCAUUAUUUCGGGGGGUUCCGCAGGGGGGGGGGGGCGGUCGGGAGCCUGGCAGCCGGGCGGUGGGGGGGGGGGGGGGGGGGGGAGAUCUUCUUUUUUUUUGGGGUCAGAUUUUGACAAUUUGGGCCGAGACGCAGGGGUGGCGGCGCUCGGGGUCGCGGGGCCGCAGCAGGAGGCGCCCGUAGGUGCCCCCCACCCGGCCCUUCGUCAGCCGCCCGGGGUUGAGGCAGACGCAGCCCAGCACGUCCUGGGGGGGGGGAGAGAAGGGAUCGAGUGGGUUGGGAUCCAUUGGGAUCCUGGGGGAUCGACUGGGGGGGGUGGGGGAGGGAUGGGGGGCUUACGGGACCGAUGAGGGGCUUGGGGGAUUGACGGGGGCUUGGGAAACCCGCGGAGGUUGGGGAUCGGGUGGGAUCGACUGGUGCUUGUAAACCCCACAGGGAUUUGGGAUCGAUUGGGGAUCUGGUGGGAUCAACUGGGGGCUUGUAAACCCCACGGGGAUUUGGGAUCGAUUGGGGAUCUGGUGGGAUCGACUGGUGCUUGUAAACCCCACAGGGAUUUGGGAUCGAUUGGGGAUCUUGUGGGAUCCAUGAGGGGCUUGUAAACCCCACGGAGAUUUGGGAUCAAUUGGGGAUCUGGUGGGAUCGACUGGGGCUUGUAAACCCCACAGGGAUUUGGGAUCGAUUGGGGAUCUUGUGGGAUCAACUGGGGGCUUGUAAACCCCACGGGGAUUUGGGAUCAACUGGGAAUGGGGUGGGAUCAACUGGGGAUCUGGUGGGAUCGACUGGUGCUUGUAAACCCCACAGGGAUUUGGGAUCAACUGGGGAUCGGGUGGGAUCAAUGAGGGGCUUGUAAACCCCACGGGGAUUUGGGAUCAAUUGGGGAUCUGGUGGGAUCAAUGAGGGGCUUGUAAACCCCACAGGGAUUUGGGAUCAAUUGGGGAUCUUGUGGGAUCAAUGAGGGGCUUGUAAAACCCCCCCAGCGGUUUGGGAUCGACCAGGGGCUUGUAAAAUCUGCAGUGGUUUAGGGUUGAUCAGGGAUCUUGUGGGAUCAACUGGAACUCGUAACCUCCCUGGAGAUUUGGGAUCGACUGGGGAUCUUGUGGGAUCGACUAGGGGCUUAGGGGAUCAAUCAGAAGCUUGUAAAGCCCACAGCAGUUUGGGAUCGACUGGGGAUCUCAUGGGAUCA
rnacentral:lncRNA from 1 species